ensembl:lncRNA
GGUGACUCCCGUGUGCGCACCGGCAGCGGCCCGCGAGUGCUGUUACUCAGGAACAAGCAGGGCUUUUAUCACAUCUCCAGCUCUGACUCAGAAACUGCAUUUCGCCGCUCUCUCUCUUUCUUCGGGAUGGCGAGCGGACGCAGUUCUCCGCAGCAGUUCAGCGCAGGAGCAGCCGUGCAUGGGCCCAUCGCUGUGUGCAGAAGCCAUGAUGCUCAGCACUGGGACGAAGCUCCAGGAGCUGCCCAUCAGAGCAGAUGAUGUCCAGACAGGUACAAGACCUGCAAGGUCAUCGCUAACCCUGACAGGUUUCCUGAAAACCACCCUCGUCUGCUAUUGGUCCGUCAUACAGAUAGCCCCGCCCCCGAACUAACAUGAUUGGUUUACUCAGAAGUUGAAAGAUAAUUUUUUUUAAAAAACUAAAACUAACAAUGAUUGACUUAGUGACUCAUUAUAAACACUGAACUGAAACUUCUGAACUAAACUAUUAAAAACAUGUUAACUGAAAUCAAAUUAUUUGCUAAUUAGAAAUGUUUUCUUUGGUUAAUUAACUCAAUUAAUUUAAAGCAUUAAAAUGAAUAAAUAAAACGGAAAUAAAAAUAAACUCAAAGCUGCAGUCCGUAAGUUUUUCCUCUUUGUCGCCAUCUCUGUUUGAAAACUUGGAAUUGCAGCUGUGUGUGGAAUUAUCUUCCUUGCAUGGGUUGUGCACCAGCAUGGAUGAAUCUGAUGUUUUGAGGAAUAUGUGUUUCAGUCAG